UAUGAUUAAGUUUUUUUCAACCAACCACAUACAACUUCACAUCAUACUGAACGCACAUUUCAUAACGCUUCCGCAGUAAGAUCUUACAUCCACCGGCAUCUCAACAGAAGAAACCCAGAAUUAGUAUUAAUCUUUCUCAUCGAGUAGUAUGGGGAACACAUGCUGCAUGUCAUUUCACCCCCUGCACUGGACAGGUAUGACGGAAUUGUGCCCCGUUAUCAACACCAGUAAUCAUUUUAAGCACCCAGUUCAAUGUGUGGAAAACCCAGAGCCCCAAGCUUCAAUAGUGGUGUUUGACUCAGAAUACUUCCACAACAAUUUUCAUUCCACUGACCCAGCAAAAAAUAAAGGCAAUGUAUUGGAGAUUUCUGUUCAAUGCGUGGACAAUCCAGAUGGUGAAGAUGGAGUUGUGGUGACUGACCAGCUAUCAUUUCCAAUCGCCACUGCUUUCAGAUGUUGUGUUUUGACAUAAUUUCAAGUACUAUUACUGUAAUGUAGAACAUAAAAGAAAAGAAAA